UUUAAACAGUUUGUAAAGUCUAUAAACAAGUCAUUUCAACAUAAAAUAAGGUUCAUAAAAACAUGGGGUCCUUUGAAAGGUGUCGGAAUCCUCAUUGGCUUAGGUCUACGCUCUCCUCUAAAUUCAGUAUUGUUCAGAUAAUUCUCUCGUUUACAAACAAAAAAUAUGUGAAUUAAUGAUGGGCACUUGUAAAAAUAAUUAGAAUAUAAAAAGGGGAUCGAGUUUUAUCAUAGCGAAAUCAUGAUUACUAGAAUCGCUACAUGCCACCAUACGUGUGUCCUUUGUUCACCAUGCGUUGUUGCCAGAGUGUCACAGCUACCACACAUGCCGGUGGAACCAGUAGGCACCAGUAGAACCACCCACACGUCGCCAUGCUUCAGCCGGAACUCAUCACAGAAUGAGUUGCACGUGCAGAUCCAACAUGUACAUGGUAAAAUCGCACCAAAGGAGCAAGGAGUAUGCGGGAUCGCAUGACCAACCAUUGCGAAUCUCCUUCUUCUUCGGCUGCUAAUCGUCGCGGGUCUCCUUUUUUCUUGGUCGUGCGCCAAGUCCUUUCAUUUUUUUGGAUUCACACGGCUGUCGACUAUACAGAUCUGGUCAUCGCACGCACCAGACCCACCUUCUCUCUCUCUCUCUCUCUCUCUUUCUUUCCUAAGUUGUUUUCUCUCUUUUCGUGAUCCACUCUCUCUCUCUCAUUUUCAAAAUUUUCAUUUUUCCUUUAAUAGACGGGAGGACGGAGAGCCCUACACGCCUCUUCUUCCUUCUUCUUCGGUGUGCAGGUUCUUACUUCGUCCUCAUCUGGCGGCCAAAGGCGUACACGCCUCUAGUUGCCCUAAUUUUUUUUUCUUUUUCUAUGACCAAAACGACAUUGUUUUGAUGCUCUCAAAACAACGUCGUUUCACCUAUUUUUAUUUUUCAUUCAUUCGCAUCAAAACGAUGUCAUUUUUGAAGUUUCCCAAAACAACGUUAUUUUGGCUUUUCUUACUUUUAAGAAACAAAUAAAUUGGGUUUGUUUUUCUUGGACCG
rnacentral:lncRNA from 1 species